rnacentral:rRNA from 1 species
GACGGACGCUGGCGGCGUGCUUAACACAUGCAAGUCGAACGGAAAGGCCCCAGCUUGCUGGGGUACUCGAGUGGCGAACGGGUGAGUAACACGUGGGUGAUCUGCCCUGCACUCUGGGAUAAGCCUGGGAAACUGGGUCUAAUACCGGAUAGGACCGUGCUUUAGUGUGUGCGGUGGAAAGUUUUUCGGUGCAGGAUGAGCCCGCGGCCUAUCAGCUUGUUGGUGGGGUAAUGGCCUACCAAGGCGGCGACGGGUAGCCGGCCUGAGAGGGUGUACGGCCACAUUGGGACUGAGACACGGCCCAAACUCCUACGGGAGGCAGCAGUGGGGAAUAUUGCACAAUGGGCGCAAGCCUGAUGCAGCGACGCCGCGUGGGGGAUGACGGCCUUCGGGUUGUAAACCCCUUUCGGCAGGGACGAAGCUUUUGUGACGGUACCUGCAUAAGAAGCACCGGCUAACUACGU